GGAGGAUAAAAGAGGGUACAACAACCAUGAAGUCAGGUUUCUGACAAGAGAUUCCUCACGACCUGAGACCUGCAUGCUGAAGAACAAGGUUUCUGACAUGAGAAGCCUCACGACCUGCCUCUCCCUCCUGGACUUGCUCUGUGCUCUACCUGCUUGCUGGCUAAGGAUGAUUCCUCUGCUGCUGCUCUCCCCCCCGAGAUGGUGUCUGCCAUCAGAUCCCUCACUACGAAAGGCCUGCAUGCUGAUGGACUCUCCAGGGCCUGCUACUGGAGACCUGCUGCUUCCUCCCAGACUUCUUCCUGGACCUACUCGGUACCUGCACCUUCUUGCUGCCUAAGACCAGCCACACUGCUGCAGCUCUUCCCCUGUGCUUUUGCCCCGGACCAUUGGAAUGUCAUGCAACGGGACUACUGCCGGAUCCUGGUGGACACAGAUGUCUUGGCACAGGGAUUCUCAAUGAAGAAUCCCAGUUCAGAAUUGCUGUCUUUUCCUUCCUCUCAUUGCUACAUUACUCAUGGUCAAGACCUGGACAGUCACAGGCCCUGUUGGCUUCUUUCCUUAACCUGGCUGCACAAGGAAAUGAGACAUUUUAGUUUUUAUUUUUAUUUUGUAUUUUUUAUUAUUUUUUAUUUUUAUUAUGACUGGUUUUUUUUUCUCCUGCCUGUCAGUGCCCUGAUAGUAACACGGAAAUCCACCGAGAAACAUCUGAGAAAGGCAGAACCUCAAAGAAAAUCACAUUCUUACUACGGUAAUAAACAGACAGGGGGAGAAAGAAGAGUUAAUAUAUAGCCUAAUGCCAUCAUGGAGGAUUGAUUAUUGGACAUGAACAAUUACACACUUUAGGCGGCAGCAAGCUCAUGCAGGCUAGCCCAGCACCUUACCGCCCUAGCCCUGGAGCUGGCAUGCCUUGCAAAACUGGGACUGCCAGAACAGUCCUGAGUGUGAUGGAGGUGGGAAAAUGCACAGGAAAUCAAGGUCCAUGGAUUCUGCUCCUGCUGGAACCUCUCUUCCUGCCUUGUGGCAUCCUUUUAAGAACAUACUAUUGUUGGUUUUAAAACUAGAAUCAGGUUUUGUCUUUGCAAAACUUCUGUAUUGGAGAUCACAAUCUACUAUAUAAGUAUUAGAUUAUUUUUACACGUGCCUUCUGAAACGUAGCAUUGGACUAAUUAAUAAAUUAAGCGUGUAAACAUU
ensembl:lncRNA